UGAAGCACGGGGAAGGUGGUGUAUGUGAACAUCCCUAGUGAGGGGGCCGUAGUGGACGAUGAAGCACGGGGAAGGUGGUGUAUGUGAACAUCCCUAGUGAG